rnacentral:ncRNA from 1 species
AUAUGUAAUAACAAAUAAGAGUUUGAUCCUGGCUCAGAAUGAAUGCUAAUGAUUAGCUUAACACAUGCAAGUUUAAAUAAGCUUUUUUUAGUAAAGUUAGCGAACGGGUGAGUACAACGUAAGAAUUAGCCCUUUUUAAUUAAUAUUAAUUAAAAAGGAAAAGCUUAUGUAAGAUUAAGUAGUUGGUUUAAUAAAAGUUUACCAAGCUUACGAUCUUUAGUUGGUCUUUGAGGAUGGUCAACCACAUUGGAAAUGAGAUACGGUCCAAACUUCUUAUAGAAGGCAGCAGUGGGGAAUAUUGGGCAAUGAGCGAAAGCUUGACCCAGCUAAAUCAUAUGUGUUUUUAAAUUAAACUUUUAAAAAGAAAAACAGAUUCUUUUUAAAAAGAGUCCUGGCUAAUUUCGUGCCAGCAGCCGCGGUAAAACGAGAAGGGCUAGCAUUAUUCGAAUUAACUGGGCGUAAAGUAUAUGUAGGCGGAAAAUUUCUUAGUAUUCUAAACCUAAAAUUUUAAGUUUUUUUAGUACUAAAACUAUUUUCUAGAGUUUAAGAGAAGUUUUUGGAACUUUAAGUGUAACGGUAAAAUGUGUUGAUAUUUAAAGGAAUUUCAAUAGUGAAGACAUUAAACUAACUUAAAACUGACGUUGAGGUAUUAAAGUAUGGGUAGCAAAAGGGAUUAGAUACCCCUGUAGUCCAUACCUUCAACUAUGAGUGUGUACUUUUAGAAAUUGUUAGAGGUAUAAUUAACGUAUUAAACACUCCGCCAGGGAACUACGAUCGCAAGAUUAAAACUCAAAGGAAUUGACGGGGACCUACACAAGCAGUGGAGCAUGUGGUUUAAAUCGACAAUACACGCGAAACCUUACCAGUUUUUGUAUAUUUACAGGUGUUGCAUGGCUGUCGUCAGUCCGUGCUGUGAAGCGUUUGAUUUAUUUCAAUGAACGGACGAAACUCUUUUAUACUUAAAACCAAAGUAUAUACUGCUAAGAAUAUCUUAGAGGAAGGAAAGAAUGACGCCAAGUCCUUAUGACCCUAAUAAGCUGGGCUACUUUCAUGUGCUACAGUAGUUGUCGCAAUAAGAAGCAAAAAUGUAAAUUUGAGUAAACCUUUAAAAAUUACUAUAACUCGGAUUGUUUUCUGAAACUUGAAAACAUAAAGUUGGAAUUGCUAGUAAUCGUGGAUAAGAAUGCUACGGUGAAUUUGUUCUUAGGUCUUGUACACACCGCCCGUCACGCUAUGGAAAUUUAUUUUAUUUGAAAACAAAAACAUUGUUGAUAAUAAAAGAAGGACUAAAGUGAAGUCGUAACAAGGUAGCCGUAGAGGAAUCUGUGGCUGGAAAAAUAACUAGAACUCUAAAUCAUCUUU